AUCACAGGACUGAGAUCUAGGCAUCUGGAAUGUUUUAAAGUUUGCUGCUACACAAUGUCUUAAAAGGACCUGUGAUGAGAAAAAUGUCAAGCACAGCUUUAAGACCUUGUGUCGAAAGGAGCUAAUGAGAAAGCAGAUUGGAAGGGCAAGAUGGAUUUUCUCCUCACAACUGUCUUCCUGGAGAUUAUGAAACCUGGAGGCUAUAAAAG
rnacentral:lncRNA from 1 species